rnacentral:rRNA from 1 species
CCUACGGGUGGCUGCAGUGGGGAAUAUUGCACAAUGGGCGAAAGCCUGAUGCAGCGACGCCGCGUGAGGGAAGAAGUAUUUCGGUAUGUAAACUUCUGUCAGCGGGGAAGAAAAUGACGGUACCUGAAUACGAAGCCCCGGCUAACUACGUGCCAGCAGCCGCGGUAAUACGUAGGGGGCAAGCGUUAUCCGGAUUCAUUGGGUGUAAAGGGUGCGCAGGCGGGCCGUAAAGCCGGGGGUGAAAUCGCUGGGCUCAACCCCGGCGUGCCGUCGGAACUGGGGGCCUUGAGUGCGGGGGAGGCAGGCGGAAUGCGCGGUGUAGCGGUGAAAUGCAUAGAUAUCGCGCAGAACCCCGAUGGCGAAGGCAGCGUGCUGUGCUGUAACUGACGCUGAGGCACGAAAGCGUGGGGAUCGAACAGGAUUAGAUACCCCAGUAGUC